rnacentral:rRNA from 1 species
AUUGAACGCUGGCGGCAGGCCUAACACAUGCAAGUCGAGCGGCAGCGGGAAAGUAGCUUGCUACUUUUGCCGGCGAGCGGCGGACGGGUGAGUAAUGCCUGGGAAAUUGCCCAGUCGAGGGGGAUAACAGUUGGAAACGACUGCUAAUACCGCAUACACCCUACGGGGGAAAGCAGGGGACCUUCGGGCCUUGCGCGAUUGGAUAUGCCCAGGUGGGAUUAGCUAGUUGGUGAGGUAAUGGCGCACCAAGGCGACGAUCCCUAGCUGGUCUGAGAGGAUGAUCAGCCACACUGGAACUGAGACACGGUCCAGACUCCUACGGGAGGCAGCAGUGGGGAAUAUUGCACAAUGGGGGAAACCCUGAUGCAGCCAUGCCGCGUGUGUGAAGAAGGCCUUCGGGUUGUAAAGCACUUUCAGCGAGGAGGAAAGGUCAGUAGCUAAUAUCUGCUGACUGUGACGUUACUCGCAGAAGAAGCACCGGCUAACUCCGUGCCAGCCGCCGCCGUAA